rnacentral:rRNA from 1 species
GACGGGGGAGCACCACAACGGGUGAGCUUGCGGUUUAAUUGGAUCAACGACCGGAAUCUUACCGGGACCGACAGCAAUAUGAAGGCCAGGCUGAAGACUUUGCCGGAUUAGCUGAGAGGUGGUGCAUGGCCGUCGUCAGUUCGUACUGUGAAGCAUCCUGUUAAGUCAGGCAACGAGCGAGACCCACGCCCACAGUUGCCAGCGUACUCUCUGGAGUGACGGGUACACUGUGGGGACCGCCGCUGCUAAAGCGGAGGAAGGAAUGGGCAACGGUAGGUCAGUAUGCCCCGAAUAUCCCGGGCUACACGCGAGCUACAAUGGUUGGUACAAUGGGUAUCUACCCCGAAAGGGGACGGGAAUCUCCUAAAACCAAUCUUAGUUCGGAUUGAGGGCUGCAACUCGCCCUCAUGAAGCUGGAAUCCGUAGUAAUCGCGUUUCAACAGAACGCGGUGAAUACGUCCCUGCUCCUU